rnacentral:rRNA from 1 species
CCUACGGGUGGCAGCAGUGAGGAAUAUUGGUCAAUGGGCGAGAGCCUGAACCAGCCAAGUCGCGUGAGGGAGUACUGCUCUAUGGGUUGUAAACCUCUUUUGUCGGGGAGCAAAAGCCGGACGUGUCCGGCUGUUAGAGUACCCGAAGAAAAAGCAUCGGCUAACUCCGUGCCAUCAGCCGCGGUAAUACGGAGGAGGCGAGCGUUAUCCGGAUUUACUGGGUUUAAAGGGUGCGAAGGCGGAUUUUUAAGUCAGCGUUAAAAUCGUGGGGCUCAACCCCAUCAAGCCGUUGAAACUGGGGAUCUAGAGUGUGCAAGAGGUAUGCGGAAUGCGUGGUGUAGCGGUGAAAUGCAUAGGUAUCACGCAGAACCCCGAUAGCGAAGGCAGCAUACCGGUGCACAACUGACGCUCAGGCACGAAAGCGUGGGUAUCGAACAGGAUUAGAUACCCUGGUAGUC